CAUAUCAAUAAGCGGAGGAAAAGAAACCAACAGGGAUUGCCCUAGUAACGGCGAGUGAAGCGGCAACAGCUCAAAUUUGAAAUCUGGCUCUCGGGCCCGAGUUGUAAUUUGUAGAGGAUACUUUUGAUGCGGUGCCUUCCGAGUUCCCUGGAACGGGACGCCAUAGAGGGUGAGAGCCCCGUCUGGUUGGAUGCCAAAUCUCUGUAAAGUUCCUUCAACGAGUCGAGUAGUUUGGGAAUGCUGCUCUAAAUGGGAGGUAUAUGUCUUCUAAAGCUAAAUACCGGCCAGAGACCGAUAGCGCACAAGUAGAGUGAUCGAAAGAUGAAAAGCACUUUGAAAAGAGAGUUAAAAAGUACGUGAAAUUGUUGAAAGGGAAGCGUUUAUGACCAGACUUGGGCUUGGUUAAUCAUCUGGGGUUCUCCCCAGUGCACUUUUCCAGUCCAGGCCAGCAUCAGUUUUCCCCGGGGGAUAAAGGCGGCGGGAAUGUGGCUCUCUUCGGGGAGUGUUAUAGCCCACCGUGUAAUACCCUGGGGGGGACUGAGGUUCGCGCAUCUGCAAGGAUGCUGGCGUAAUGGUCAUCAACGACCCGUCUUGAAACACGGACCAAGGAGUCGUCUUCGUAUGC
rnacentral:rRNA from 1 species